UACGUAGGCAGCGAGCGUUGUUCGGAAUCACUGGGCGUAAAGGGUGCGUAGGCGGGUCUUUAAGUCAGGGGUGAAAUCCUGGAGCUCAACUCCAGAACUGCCUUUGAUACUGAAGAUCUUGAGUUCGGGAGAGGUGGGUGGAACUGCGAGUGUAGAGGUGAAAUUCGUAGAUAUUCGCAAGAACACCAGUGGCGAAGGCGGCUCACUGGCCCGAUACUGACGCUGAGGCACGAAAGCGUGGGGAGCAAACAGG
rnacentral:rRNA from 1 species